UGGGACCUACGGGGGGCAGCAGUGGGGAAUAUUGCACAAUGGGGGAAACCCUGAUGCAGCGACGCCGCGUGAAGGAUGAAGUAUUUCGGUAUGUAAACUUCUAUCAGCAGGGAAGAAAAUGACGGUACCUGACUAAGAAGCUCCGGCUAAAUACGUGCCAGCAGCCGCGGUAAUACGUAUGGAGCAAGCGUUAUCCGGAUUUACCGGGUGUAAAGGGAGCGCAGGUGGUCUGUUAAGUCAGCGGUCAAAGCCCGGGGCUCAACCCCGGCCCGCCGUUGAACCUGGCCGGC
rnacentral:rRNA from 1 species